UGGGGGAUAUUGCACAAUGGGCGAAAGCCUGAUGCAGCGACGCCGCGUGGGGGAUGAAGGCUUUCGGGUUGUAAACCUCUUUCGCUAUCGAACAAGGCCCGCUUAGGGUGGGUUGAGGGUAGGUGGAGAAGAAGCGCCGGCUAACUACGUGCCAGCAGCCGCGGUAAUACGUAGGGCGCGAGCGUUGUCCGGAAUUAUUGGGCGUAACGGGCUUGUAGGCGGCUUGUUGCGCCUGCUGUGAAAACGCGGGGCUUAACUUCGCGCGUGCAGUGGGUACGGGCAGGCUUGAGUGUGGUAGGGGUGACUGGAAUGACAGGUGUAGCGGUGGAAUGCGCAGAUAUCUGGAGGAACACCGAUGGCGAAGGCAGGUCACUGGGCCAUUACUGACGCUGAGGAGCGAAAGCAUGGGUAGCGAACAGG
rnacentral:rRNA from 1 species